GCGAGAGAACGUUGCCAAGGGCAACGGCCCGAAGGGCGAGGAGCGAUAGCGACGAGUUAUCCUUCCCCCACCACCA
rnacentral:sRNA from 1 species